GUUUGCCCAGUACUCCAGUGAUCAGACACAUAACUCUAGCUAUUGGGCAGACAGUGUUAGAGUAGACAGUGUCUGCCCAAUAGCUAGAGUUAUGUGUCUGAUUUAAGAGCAGGUGUCUUUAA
rnacentral:pre_miRNA from 1 species